AGUGAACGCUGGCGGUAGGCCUAACACAUGCAAGUCGAACGGCAGCACAGUAAGAGCUUGCUCUUACGGGUGGCGAGUGGCGGACGGGUGAGGAAUACAUCGGAAUCUACUUUUUCGUGGGGGAUAACGUAGGGAAACUUACGCUAAUACCGCAUACGACCUACGGGUGAAAGCAGGGGAUCUUCGGACCUUGCGCGAUUGAAUGAGCCGAUGUCGGAUUAGCUAGUUGGCGGGGUAAAGGCCCACCAAGGCGACGAUCCGCAGCUGGUCUGAGAGGAUGAUCAGCCACACUGGAACUGAGACACGGUCCAGACUCCUACGGGAGGCAGCAGUGGGGGAUAUUGGACAAUGGGCGCAAGCCUGAUCCAGCCAUACCGCGUGGGUGAAGAAGGCCUUCGGGUUGUAAAGCCCUUUUGUUGGGAAAGAAAAGCAGCAGGUUAAUACCCCGCUGUUCUGACGGUACCCAAAGAAUAAGCACCGGCUAACUUCGUG
rnacentral:rRNA from 1 species